ACCACCGCAGGACCGGAACCACAAACAAGGCAUCAGGGGGCAGGGACGGGGGACCCAUAUCCGGCCGGUUCAGCUCCACACCGGCCUCGGGGUGAAGUCGCCUAGCGACCGGGCACACCUUCCCGCCCGAACCCGACAGCUAACCUCGCAGGCGUGCCGGAGGGAUAUC
rnacentral:sRNA from 2 species